rnacentral:rRNA from 1 species
UACGAGGGGGGCAAGCGUUGUUCGGAAUUAUUGGGCGUAAAGGGCGCGUAGGCGGUCUGAUAAGUCUUGUGUGAAAUCUCCCGGCUCAACCGGGAGGGUGCGCCGAAAACUGGGGGGCUAGAGUGCGGGAUGGGUAAGUGGAAUUCCUGGUGUAGCGGUGAAAUGCGUAGAUAUCAGGAGGAACACCGGUGGCGAAGGCAGGUCUCUGGGCAGUAACUGACGCUGAGGAGCGAAAGCGUGGGGAGCGAACAGG